GUAUCUGUGAUAUGGUGAAAAUGACCUGGAAUCCUUCCAAAAUAAUUUCUGGCCCAGCUUGAGAACAAGAAGAGUAGCAUUCAAGAUAUAAGCUGCAACAAGAGCAUCAGUUAUCUGUAACAGAAUCAAGAAAGAAGCACAAGAUGCUGAAUCAGCAUAAAAAACAUGCAUGAUAACAAACCAGUCUUAUCACUCAUGGAAUGAAAAAGUUACAAAGUCCUAUCAACAAGUCCUAUACAGGAUCUACUUAUAACCAGAUGCCUAAACGAAAUAACAAAUCAAAUUUAGACUAAUAAAGAAGCCAUUUGGAAUCUGAAUGCAUAACCACAAUGUACUUUAAGCCUUAAAUGAAGAUAUUAGAACGAUAAGUUAGGCCUCAAAUGGAAGAAAACUAAGAUGGGCGUCUACUGGAUUAAUAUGCAGCUACAGCUCAAUCAAGAAACUCACCCCUCUUCUUUGCUGGUUUAAGCCUCCACUAAUAGCAGUCAACAAAUAUGUUUUCACAUCAGCAGCUGCAACAUUUAGGACAUUGGUUUUGUAAAUCAAAAGCCUCAGAUAAGUUAACCAAAAUCAUAACAGAAUCGAUUCAAUUACGACGUCAUUACUGCAACCAUGGAGAAAAAAACCAUAAAUAAAGUUGAUUACUUUACUUGCAAAGUUAUCGGCGGCACGCUACCAUGGAAGAAAUUCGAUUUCCUU
rnacentral:lncRNA from 1 species